rnacentral:rRNA from 1 species
GACGAACGCUGGCGGCGUGCUUAACACAUGCAAGUCGAACGGAAAGGCCCUGCUUUUGUGGGGUGCUCGAGUGGCGAACGGGUGAGUAACACGUGAGUAACCUGCCCUUGACUUUGGGAUAACUUCAGGAAACUGGGGCUAAUACCGGAUAGGAGCUCCUGCUGCAUGGUGGGGGUUGGAAAGUUUCGGCGGUUGGGGAUGGACUCGCGGCUUAUCAGCUUGUUGGUGGGGUAGUGGCUUACCAAGGCUUUGACGGGUAGCCGGCCUGAGAGGGUGACCGGCCACAUGGGGACUGAGAUACGGCCCAGACUCCUACGGGAGGCAGCAGUGGGGAAUAUUGCACAAUGGGCGGAAGCCUGAGGCAGCAACGCCGCGUGCGGGAUGACGGCCUUCGGGUUGUAAACCGCUUUCGCCUGUGACGAAGCGUGAGUGACGGUAAUGGGUAAAGAAGCACCGCUAACUACGUG